rnacentral:rRNA from 1 species
UACAGAGGGUGCAAGCGUUAAUCGGAAUUACUGGGCGUAAAGGGCGCGUAGGUGGAUAAGUGUGUUGGAUGUGAAAGCCCCGGGCUUAACCUGGGAGGGUCAUUCAAAACUGCUUGUCUAGAGUACAGUAGAGGGAAGUGGAAUUUCCGGUGUAGCGGUGGAAUGCAUAGAUAUCGGAAGGAACACCAGUGGCGAAGGCGGCUUCCUGGACUGUUACUGACACUGAGGCGCGAAAGCGUGGGGAGCAAACAGG